GGAUGAACGCUAGCGGCAGGCCUAAUACAUGCAAGUCGAGGGGCAGCACGGUAGCAAUACUGGUGGCGACCGGCAAACGGGUGCGGAACACGUACGCAACCUUCCUUUAAGAGAUGAAUAGCCCGAAGAAAUUCGGAUUAAUGCAUCGUAAGAUUGUGGGAUGGCAUCAUCCAGCAAUUAAAGAUUUAUUUCGCUUAAAGAUGGGCGUGCGCCUGAUAGGUAGUUGGUGAGGUAACGGCUCACCAAGCCGACGAUCAGUAACUGGCGUGAGAGCGCGACCAGUCAC
rnacentral:rRNA from 1 species